AUUGAACGCUGGCGGCAGGCCUAACACAUGCAAGUCGAACGGUAACAGGAAACAGCUUGCUGUUUCGCUGACGAGUGGCGGACGGGUGAGUAAUGUCUGGGAAACUGCCUGAUGGAGGGGGAUAACUACUGGAAACGGUAGCUAAUACCGCAUAACGUCGCAAGACCAAAGAGGGGGACCUUCGGGCCUCUUGCCAUCGGAUGUGCCCAGAUGGGAUUGGCUAGUAGGUGGGGUAACGGCUCACCUAGGCGACGAUCCCUAGCUGGUCUGAGAGGAUGACCAGCCACACUGGAACUGAGACACGGUCCAGACUCCUACGGGAGGCAGCAGUGGGGAAUAUUGCACAAUGGACGCAAGCCUGGUGCAGCCAUGCCGCGUGUAUGAAGAAGGCCUUCGGGCUGUAAAGUACUUUCAGCGGGGAGGAAGGGAGUAAAGUUAAUACCUUUGCUCAUUGACGUUACCCGCAGAAGAAGCACCGGCUAACUCCGUGCCAGCCGCCGCCGUAA
rnacentral:rRNA from 1 species